UACGUAGGGUGCAAGCGUUAAUCGGAAUUACUGGGCGUAAAGCGUGCGCAGGCGGUUAUAUAAGACAGUUGUGAAAUCCCCGGGCUCAACCUGGGAACUGCAUCUGUGACUGUAUAGCUAGAGUACGGUAGAGGGGGGAUGGAAUUCCGCGUGUAGCAGUGAAAAUGCGUAGAUAUGCGGAGGAACACCGAUGGCGAAGGCAAUCCCCCUGGGCCUGCACUGACGCUCAUGCACGAAAGCGUGGGGAGCAAACAGG
rnacentral:rRNA from 1 species